rnacentral:rRNA from 1 species
UACGUAGGGGGCAAGCGUUGUCCGGAUUUAUUGGGCGUAAAGAGCGUGUAGGCGGCUUUGCAAGUCCGUUGUGAAAACUCGAGGCUCAACCUCGAGACGCCGGUGGAAACUGCAAAGCUAGAGUCCGGAAGAGGAGAGUGGAAUUCCUGGUGUAGCGGUGAAAUGCGCAGAUAUCAGGAAGAACACCCGUGGCGAAGGCGGCUCUCUGGGGCGGUACUGACGCUGAGACGCGAAAGCGUGGGGAGCGAACAGG